UUUAGACAUGGCUACUUUUAAUGCUAACCACCCUCAAUCAGGAUAAAAAUCCUCUAUUAUUCUUAAUCUUGCAAUUCCAUGUCAUUCCACCUGCAAAAUUUGAAACGUGGCCAACUUUAAGUGAAUGGCCCAUAUGCUUUCUUGGUUGAAUCUUCACCAAAACUUGGUUAGAAGUUAAUUGAACCGGUCCGCGUGAAGAAUCAAACCACAUCGGUUCGUGAUUUGAAUUAGGUUAUCCAAAUGACCUAUCUCGCAUGACACUCUCUCUCUCUCACCCCUCGCUCUGUCUCUCAGACCUCUCACUGCUGAACGAAGGAUUUUCUCUGGUUUGUGCUUCAUCGAAGCUCGGUAGAGGUAGAGGUUGUUUUCGUACGAAGGAGAAGCUCCUAUCAACAAGGUUUUCUUGCUCUUUGUUACUCUCAAUCGGUUUUCUCUCUCUCUUUUGCUGCUCACGAAGCUUCCUGCUGCUACUAUCUCUUUUGUCUGGGUUUGAUUUCUCUCGCGCCGAAGCUCUUGGAUAGUGUUGUUACCUGGUUAGGGUUUGAUUUUAAGCCAUUCUUUGAUAGGGUUUGACUCAAAUCGUUGGCAGGAAGCCAGCUAGUAUGGAAAUCCAAGGGAUAAUGUUGGGGGUGCAAGAGCUGUCCCAAAAAUCUGGGUGACAACAUGUAUUACAACAGACCAUUGAUUGGAUCAGGACUGCCCGGUAUUACAGCAUUCAUUUAUAAAACCCAACUGCUUCUUCAUUCAUGUAUUACAACAUGAAUCACUGCCUUGUGUUAGAGCAGACCAUUUAUUGGAUUUUGUUAAUAUUACUAUUCUAAUUAAACAAAGUCAUGUGUUAAAUUAA